rnacentral:rRNA from 1 species
AGAGUUUGAUUCUGGCUCAAGAUGAACGCUGGCGGCGUGCUUAACACAUGCAAGUCGAACGGGCUCAUAUUGAAACCUAGUGAUGUAUGAGUUAGUGGCGGACGGGUGAGUAACGCGUGGAGAACCUGCCGUAUACUGGGGGAUAACACUUAGAAAUAGGUGCUAAUACCGCAUAAGCGCACAGCUUCGCAUGAAGCAGUGUGAAAAACUCCGGUGGUAUACGAUGGAUCCGCGUCUGAUUAGCUGGUUGGCGGGGUAACAGCCCACCAAGGCGACGAUCAGUAGCCGGCCUGAGAGGGUGAACGGCCACAUUGGGACUGAGACACGGCCCAAACUCCUACGGGAGGCAGCAGUGGGGAAUAUUGCACAAUGGGGGAAACCCUGAUGCAGCGACGCCGCGUGAGUGAAGAAGUAUUUCGGUAUGUAAAGCUCUAUCAGCAGGGAAGAAAAUGACGGUACCUGACUAAGAAGCCCCGGCUAACUACGUGCCAGCAGCCGCGGUAAUACGUAAGGGGCAAGCGUUAUCCGGAUUUACUGGGUGUAA